CCCGUCACAUCACGAAAGUCGGUUGCUCUUGAAGUCGCUGAGCCGACCCGCAAGGGGAGCAGGCGCCUACGGAGUGAUCGAUGAUUGGGGGUG
rnacentral:rRNA from 1 species